AAGUCACAGAGUCCACAUUCUAAAAACAAUCCACUCUGUGAGGUGCAACAGUUAAUAGCAUGUUAGAGUUCUAGUGGAAAAGAAAAUGAAAAACUAUCCAAACAGGGUUGCAAGCAUGAAACGUGUAACAAAA